CUCUUCCUGCCGCGCUCCCUCAGAACUGGCUGAAGAACACUAGCUACUUCUCCAGCUGCGUGCCGCCAUGUUCCCUGUCAUGGGGAUAAAGGGACUAAAUCCCUCUGAAACGGUUCAUCUAUGAAGCAGCUGGCUCCAGAACCUUCUGCCUGCCUAAGGCCGAAUAAUGCUCUGCUUCUGAGUAUGCUGACUUGGGUUGUCUGUUUACCUCACUGCUGGCUGCUGGCUGCUGUCCCCCUGGGAGCUCCCUGCUUGGCUGCUGUGGCUAAUGCUGCCAGGAGGUCAGUUGUCCAAGAAUCUCUCUCUUCAGGCCCUUCUUCCAGUUCCUCAGGCGCCACAUCCAGAAGCAGGAGAAGAACCUUAGGAGCAGUGUCCACUCUGCUCACAGACCCUGUUCAUCAUGGCUCCAAUGACUCUCGAUUUCCAUCUCUGCUGUGUUUCUUAGCCAGCACGGGGCCUGCAACUACAUCUCCUAUCUGGAUGCUGUGAGGAAGAAUGGACCCUUGCAAGGACACAGCUACCGCCCAGGGGUGCCUGGCGAGACAGAUUCUGCAAAUGUUUGUCAGCUCAGAGCCAGGUCUAGAAUGUGGCCUCUCUGGAGCUCGCUUGUUGGCUCCCCCAGAUGCAUCAUGGAAGGAGUUCCGCAUGCUCUGAGACAGUUUCUUCCCAGGAGGGGAUCAGCUUACUGGAGCAGCGCUGUUUUCUGUGGACCCUUGUCUAGUUGUGGCGGUUGCUGGGAAAGAUGAAGUCCCCAGACUGGAGCUCAGGCUGCAAAGAGGCUGGCAUGAAGCGAGAUGCCCCUUCUAGGCCAAGGCAAGAUCUGCUGCCCUCUGACUUCUACCUGUUGCUGAGAUGACUUCUGUCGCCAAGGCACCUGGAUACCGAGCCACUCCUUGACAAAAGCCCUCUCCAGCCUGCGUGGACCUCGCGUGAGAGAAGUCUAGGUGGCUGUGGGCAGCCCACAGGCUUCCGUUGCCGCUGCGUUACAGCUUGUCGUCUUAAUCUUGAAAUGAGACCUGGUUCACUUGAUCUCAUUAAUAAAAGGUCUGUGCUCCCCCUAGUCAUAAAAA
rnacentral:lncRNA from 1 species